GGGUAACCGUGCCAAAAACCUGUUCGCAAGCAUCACUGCAAACUCCUAAUGAAGUUCUACCACCAUUCUUCUCUAAGGUCACACCUAACACUAAAAAGAGAGUUGUGUUUUUCAUCCGUGACGCAGUCCUUAAAUCCAGCGAAGGCAGCUGCAGUCAAAGCAGUUGUCAGCAAAUGGUCUGUGUGAGGUGUUUUCCCUGUGCUAGUUGACGUUAGUCAAUGAGUGUUUUUCUGGUAUUGCAUCCUGGAAACAUUCUUAUUUAUGGUAUUUAUUAUGCUCUUCCUUUUCUAGAUGACAGGCAUGGGAAGCACAAAGGCAGAGUUGUCUCAUACAUUGAAGACUUCACAACUAGUAAUGAAACAGACUGGAAAGAGAAGGCAAGACUAAUGAGGGGAGAUAAUGAUGGGCAUAGAUGCAGCUAUCUCUGCAGGUUUCCCAAGUGAAUAGUAGUGAGUGUGUGGAAGUGGUUUCUAAUCAAUCCUGAUGCGUAUCCACGUACCCUGCCAUCUACAAUGAGGUGUACCUACAGCUGUAAAAGGCACAGUGAGCCAGGAGAGGCCGGUGUCAUGGACUACAGUCACAUCUACAUGGCAGCACAAGGGACAGUAGAGGUUUGGGUUUUUUGGCCUUUGUUUUUUUGGGAGGGGUGUAUGGGGGGGAUUGUGUUUGUUUACAUUUUGUUUUUCUUUUUAAAGAUUCCUCAUCUGACCUACAGUUGGCUUCAGGGGUCAAGCAGCCUGAGGAGAGGGAUAUAA
rnacentral:lncRNA from 1 species